rnacentral:rRNA from 1 species
AGCCAUCCUUUAAAGAGUGCGUAAUAGCUCACUAGUCGAGUGACCCUGCGCCGAAAAUGUACCGGGGCUAAAACAAUUUACCGAAGCUGUGGAUACCUUUAUAGGUAUGGUAGGAGAGCGUUCUAUGUGUGAAGAAGGUAUACCGUGAGGAGUGCUGGAACGCAUAGAAGUGAGAAUGCCGGUAUGAGUAGCGAAAGACAGGUGAGAAUCCUGUCCACCGUAAGACUAAGGUUUCCAGGGGAAGGCUCGUCCGCCCUGGGUUAGUCGGGACCUAAGGAGAGACCGAAAGGUGUAUCCGAUGGACAACAGGUUGAUAUUCCUGUACUAGAGUAUGUAGUGAUGGAGGGACGCAGUAGGCUAACUAAAGCAGACGAUUGGAAGUGUCUGUCUAAGCAGUGAGGUGUGAAUUGAGUUAAAUGCUUAGUUCUAUAAC